CAUUGUUCAAAAUGACUUGAUUAAUGUUUUCUUAUAAUUCAUAAUUCAUUUGUUUUACCCAUUUCCAGGCAGGUUUCCAGCACAGUGCAUUUAAAAAAAAAAAAAUACAAUUGGAAGUUAACUGUGCUUAGGCACCAAUUCAUGGGAUAGCUGAAAGCCAACUGAAGAGAUAUCAAAGACUACUGAAGAUGACAGUACAGAGGUGACAGAGCAGUGAUCAAGAUAAUGCUGUGAAUUCAAGGAAAAAAAGAAACCAAAGCACAACUGGACCUGAAGCAAAGCUUAUAGAAAAGUGGGAAAACGCCUUUUAAGGGGGAAGAGGAACAGGAACUGAUACAAGCCUAAGUGACAGUAUAACAAAAGACACAAAAGUGGUAACAGAUGGCCCUGUGUUAAGAUUAAAGCUCAAGAUUAGACCAAGAAGAGGUUCUUUCGAGGACAUUAAGGACCUCAACAGAAUCUACAAGAAACGAAGGAACUCAGUGAAAUUUCACCUGGCCAACUGAGAAGGAGACACCUGCCUUCACAAAUGCCAUCAUCCAUGAGGAUCCCAAAGAAAGCAGAAUCAGAAAUUUUUCAAUAGCUGGGUAUGUAUAUGUACAUGUAUAUGUAUCAAAAGAAAGGAUGUAAACAAUAUUAAAACUCAAAGCCUUCUUUUGGUUUAUUUAUA
rnacentral:lncRNA from 1 species